AUGGCAGCGGCGGGCGGCGGCGGGCCCUCGGUGGGGACUGGAGAGGGCGGUGGAGGCGACAGCUACAGGACGGUGUACUUGUUUGACCGGCGCGAGAAGGAGUCUGAGCUGGGAGAGCGGGCGCUGCAGGUGGGGGAGCUCUCGGACUACUCGGCGUUCCGCGCCUCGGUGUGUCAGACACUUGCCAUUUCACCUGAAGAGAAAUUUGUUAUUACAACAACAAGUAGGAAAGAAAUUACCUGUGAUAAUUUUGAUGAAACUGUUAAGGAUGGAGUCACUCUAUAUGUGCUACAGACAGUCAAUCAGUUACUGCUAACAGCUACAAAAGAACGGAUUGACUUCCUACCUCACUAUGACACAUUGGUUAAAAGUGGCAUGUAUGAAUAUUAUGCAAGUGAAGGACAAAAUCCUUUACCAUUUGCUCUUGCAGAAUUAAUUGACAAUUCGUUGUCUGCUACUUCUCGUAACGCUGGUGUUAGAAGAAUACAGAUCAAAUUGCUUUUUGAUGAAACACAAGGAAAACCUGCUGUUGCAGUGGUAGAUAAUGGAAGAGGAAUGACCUCCAAACAGCUUAACAACUGGGCUGUGUAUAGGUUGUCAAAAUUUACAAGGCAAGGUGACUUUGAAAGUGAUCAUUCAGGAUAUGUUCGACCACUACCAGUGCCACGCAGUUUAAAUAGUGAUAUUUCCUAUUUUGGUGUUGGGGGCAAGCAGGCUGUUUUCUUUGUUGGACAAUCAGCCAGAAUGAUAAGCAAACCUGCAGAUUCCCAAGAUGUUCAUGAACUUUUACUUUCUAAAGAAGAUUUUGAGAAGAAGGAGAAAAAUAAAGAGGCAAUAUAUAGUGGAUAUAUUAGAAACAGAAAGCCGUCUGAUUCUGUUCACAUUACAAAUGAUGAUGAACGAUUUCUACAUCAACUUAUCUCAGAGGAGAAAGAAAAAGAUAGCUUUACUGCUGUGGUUAUCACAGGGGUACAACCAGAACACAUACAGUACUUGAAAAAUUAUUUCCUCCUUUGGACAAGACAGUUAGCGCAUAUUUAUCAUUACUAUAUUCAUGGCCCAAAAGGAAAUGAAAAACGUUCCUCAAAAGAAGUUGGACCUUUCAACAACAUUGAUAUUGAAAUUUCUAUGUUUGAAAAGGGGAAGACACCUAAGAUUAUCAACCUAAGGGAAAUACAAGAUGACAUGCAGACAUUGUAUAUAAAUACAGCAGCUGAUAGUUUUGAGUUCAAAGCGCAUGUUGAAGGAGAUGGUGUAGUGGAAGGGAUUAUCCGAUAUCACCCCUUCUUGUAUGAUAAAGAAACUUACCCUGAUGAUCCAUGCUUUCCAUCAAAAUUAAAAGAUGAAGAUGAUGAUGACGAUUGUUUCAUACUUGACAAAGCAGCAAGAGGGAAAAGACCUAUUUUUGAAUGUUUUUGGAAUGGACGACUAAUACCAUAUACAUCUGUUGAAGACUUUGACUGGUGUGCUCCUCCUAAGAAGAGAGGGCUUGCCCCGAUUGAGUGCUACAAUAGGAUAUCUGGUGCAUUAUUCACUAAUGACAAAUUCCAGGUCAGCACAAACAAACUGACCUUCAUGGAUCUUGAGCUAAAAUUGAAAGAUAAGAACACCCUUUUUACAAGGAUUUUAAAUGGACAGGAGCAGCGAAUGAAAAUCGACAGAGAAUUUGCUUUAUGGCUGAAGGACUGUCAUGAAAAGUAUGACAAACAAAUAAAAUUUACACUUUUUAAAGGAAUAAUUACUCGUCCUGAUCUUCCUUCUAAAAAGCAGGGCCCCUGGGCAACUUACUCAGCAAUAGAAUGGGAUGGAAAAGUAUUCAAAGCAGGACAGCUGGUCAAGACAAUCAAAACACUUCCUCUCUUUUAUGGAAGCAUUGUAAAAUUUUUCCUUUAUGGUGAUCAUGAUGGAGAAGUAUAUGCUACAGGAGGAGAGGUUCAAAUUGCAAUGGAACCUCAAGCACUGUAUGAUGAAGUAAGAACUGUGCCAAUUGCAAAACUGGAUAGGACAGUUGCUGAGAAAGCUGUGAAAAAAUAUGUAGAAGAUGAAAUGGCAAGGCUCCCUGAUAGACUGUCAGUAACUUGGCCUGAAGGAGAUGAAUUAUUGCCAAAUGAGGUUAGGCCUGCUGGAACCCCCAUUGGUGCAUUAAGAAUUGAAAUAUUGAAUAAAAAAGGGGAAGCAAUGCAAAAACUUCCAGGAACAAGUCAUGGAGGGUCAAAGAAACUCCUGGUUGAGCUCAAAGUUAUAUUACACUCUUCAAGUGGAAAUAAAGAAAUCAUUUCACAUAUUAGUCAACAUGGAGGAAAAUGGCCUUACUGGUUUAAAAAAAUGGAAAAUAUUCAUAAGUUGGGGAAUUAUACAUUGAAGUUACAAGUUGUAUUGAAUGAAAGUAAUGCAGACACUUAUGCAGGAAGACCACUACCAUCUAAAGCAAUUAAGUUUUCUGUUAAAGAGGGUAAGCCAGAGAAAUUUUCAUUUGGCCUUUUGGAUCCUCCUUUUCGUGUUGGAGUCCCAUUCAAUAUCCCUGUGGAGUUUCAGGAUGAAUUUGGUCAUACUAGUCAACUAUCAGCUGAUAUUCAGCCAGUUUUUGAAGCAAGUGGUUUAUCUUUACAUUAUGAAGAAAUAACCAAAGGACCAAAUUGCGUAAUUCAAGGCGUUACAGCUAAGGGCCCUGUAAACUCUUGUCAAGGCAAGAAUUUUAAUCUGAAAGUUACUCUGCCGGGUUUAAAAGAAGACACACAGAUUUUGAAAAUUAGAUUACUACCAGGUCCCCCUCGUCGAUUGAAAGUGAAACCUGAUUCUGAAAUUUUAGUUAUAGAAAAUGGAACAGCUUUCCCAUUUCAGGUGGAAGUUUUGGAUGAAUCAGAGAAUAUAACAGCACAACCAAAACUGAUUGUUCAUUGUAAGUUUUUAGGUGCUCCAAACCUUCCAAUCUAUGUUGUGGAUUGCAGUAGUUCUGGAACCAGUAUUUUAUCAGGACCAGCAAUUCAAGUUCAGAAUAUUAAAAAAGACCAGACACUUAAAGCAAAAAUUGAAAUACCUAGUUGUAAAGAUGUGGCACCUGUAGAGAAGACUAUUAAGUUGCUUCCCAGUAGCCAUGUUGCAAGAUUACAGAUAUUCAGUGUGGAAGGACAAAAGGCAAUCCAGAUCAAACAUCAGGAUGAGGUUAAUUGGAUAGCAGGCGAUGUUAUGCGUAAUCUUAUUUUUCAAAUGUAUGAUGAAGGAGAAAGAGAAAUCCAUAUAACAUCAGCUUUGGCAGAAAAAAUUAAAGUUAAUUGGACUCCUGAGAUUAACAAAGAACACUUACUACAGGGUCUGCUUCCUGAUGUACAAGUACCAACAUCUGUAAAAGAUAUGCGCUAUUGCCAGGUUUCAUUCCAAGAUGAUCAUGUGUCUUUGGAAAGUGCAUUUACAGUAAGACCACUUCCUGAUGAACCUAAACAUUUAAAAUGUGAAUUAAAAGGAGGAAAAACUGUACAGAUGGGCCAAGAGCUUCAAGGAGAAAUAGUAAUAAUAGUUACAGAUCAGUAUGGAAAUCAGAUUCAAGCAUUUUCACCAAGUUCUUUAUCUGCCUUGGGGAUUGCUGGGAUUGGACUUGAUAGCUCACAUUUGAAAACUACUUUUCAGGAAAAUACCCAAAGUAUAUGUGUAAGAGGCAUCAAAUUUAUUCCGGGUCCUCCUGGAAAUAAGGAUCUUUGUUUUACUUGGCGUGAGUUUUCUGACUUUAUUCGAGUGCAGCUAAUUUCUGGACCACCAGCUAAACUUCUUCUUAUAGACUGGCCAGAAUUAAAGGAGUCCAUUCCAGUGAUUAAUGGAAGAGAAUUACAGAAUCCUCUCAUUGUUCAACUUUGUGAUCAGUGGGAUAAUCCAGCACCUGUGCCACAGGUUAAAAUAAGUCUUAUAAAAGCUAACAAUUUAAAGCUUACUCCUUCAAACCAGCAACAUAAAACCGAUGAAAGGGGCAGGGCUAAUUUGGGAGUGUUCAGUGUUUAUGCCCCUAGAGGAGAACAUACUAUGCAAGUUAAAGCCACAUUUAACAAGAAUACCAUAGAAGGACCCAUAAUUAAGUUAAUGAUUCUUCCAGACCCUGAAAAACCUAUUCGUCUCAAUGUUAAAUAUGACAAAGAUGCUUCCUUUUUAGCAGGGAGUAUUUUCACUGAUUUUAUGAUUACUGUUAUUUCUGAAGAUGACAGUAUCAUUAAAAAUAUUAAUCCAGCACGUAUUUCCAUGAAAAUGUGGAAACUGUCUAACAGUGGGAAUCGACCACCAGCAAAUGCAGAAACAUUUAGUUGUAAUAAAAUAAAAGAUAAUGACAAGGAAGAUUGCUGCUUCUACUUCAGGGAUAAAGCAAUUCCUAGCAAAGUGGGCACAUAUUGUAUCCAGUUUUGCUUUAUGAUGGAUAAAGCAAAUAUUCUUAACAGUGAACAGAUUAUAGUUGAUGUUCUGCCUAAUCAGCCCAUGAAGUUAGUUCCUGAAAUUCAGCCAGCUACGCCAGCUGUUUCAAAUGUUCGCUCAAUUGCCAGUAGGACUUUGGUCAAAGAUUUAUAUCUUCAUAUCACGGAUGACUACAAUAAUCAUACUGGAAUUGAUUUGGUUGGCACUGUAAUGGUUACCAUCAAAGGUUCUAAUGAGGAAGAUGACACACCACUCUUUAAUGGGAAAGUUAGAACACUUGAAUUUCCCUUUGUGAAAGGUUCAGCUGAAAUCACGAAUCUAGUGCUGGCAGAAAAUAGUCCUGGAAGGGAUAGCACUGAGUAUUUUAUUGUAUUUGAGCCUCGGCUACCAGCUUUAUCAAGAACAUUAGAAUCAUAUAUACUACCAUUUAUGUUUUACAAUGAUGUUAAGAAGCAGCAACAAAUGGCAGCACUUACAAAAGAGAAGGACCAAUUAUCUAAGUCUAUUAUAAUGUAUAGAAGUAUGUUUGAUACCAGGAAUCAGCUUCUUGAUGAGAUCAAGUGUCAAGUUGAAAGAGCAAAAUUAAAAGAGGCCCAGUUGCGAAAUGAACUAAAAACACAUAAUAUUGACAUUCCUGCAACUCAACAGAUGCCACACAUUGAAGCACUUUUGAAAAGCAAGAUAGCAGAACAGGAAGAACUAAAGAAAAAACCUAGAAGAUCAUGUACUCUUCCAAACUAUACUAAAGGCAAUGGAGAUGUUUUGGGAAAGAUUGCACACCUGGCACAAAUUGAAGAUGAUAGAGCUGCAAUGGUUAUUUCUUGGCAUCUGGCAAGUGACAUGGACUGUGUGGUCACCCUGACCACUGAUGCCGCACGUCGCAUCUAUGACGAAACCCAGGGUCGUCAGCAAGUGUUGCCUCUUGAUUCUAUUUAUAAGAAGACUCUUCCAGAUUGGAAAAGACCUCUACCUCACUACCGAAAUGGAAAAUUGUAUUUUAAACCCAUUGGAGAUCCUGUCUUUGCCCGAGAUUUGUUAACAUUUCCAGAUAGCGUAGAACAUUGUGAAACAGUGUUUGGUAUGCUGUUAGGAGACACCAUUAUUUUGGAUAAUUUGGACGCUGCCAAUCAUUAUAGAAAAGAGGUUGUUAAAAUUACACACUGUCCUACACUGCUGACCAGAGAUGGAGAUCGCAUUCGAAGUAAUGGAAAGUUUGGGGGCCUUCAGAAUAAAGCUCCUCCAAUGGAUAAACUUCGGGGAAUGGUAUUUGGAGCUCCAAUCCCAAAACAGUGCCUGAUCUUAGGGGAGCAAAUAGAUCUUCUGCAGCAGUAUCGCACUGCCUUGUGCAGGUUGGGCACUGUAAACAAGGAACUUAAAGGGGAGUUAGAGUACCUUCACACUCCUGAUAUGAAGAAGAAAAAACAAGAACUUGAUGAACAAGAGAAAAAUCUGAAACUGAUAGAGCAAAAGCUAGGUAUGACUCCCACACGUAAAUGUAAUGACUCACUGCGUCAUCCAAUGACAGAUUGUCCAGUUCCUCCUAAAAGAAUGAGAAGAGAAACUACAAGACAGAAUAGUCUUCAAGUUCAGAAGACAACAAAUCUCUAUUAGGACUAGCUACAUUGCAAGUGCUCUGGAGCCAUACGUGGCUAGUGGCUGCCAGAUUGGACAGCACAGGAUUAUAACCAAAACAGAUGUGUGAGGAGUGACAGAGAAGAGGGGGCCAUUGGGCCCACUAAGAAAUACCCUACCUUUUGCAGCUCUGUUUCAGAAGACUAAGAGGGUGACUUACAGACUGAAUAUUUCUGCGAUGAUACAAGGAUCUGGGAGUGCUUUUUCAUGUCUCUCCGGCUGAGGGCUGGAAGCAGCCAUUCAGUUUUGUGACUCUUACUGGACAAUAUGAAUUUACUUGACUUCUUCCAAUCAUCAUGCCCUUUGGUUGCCAUCAUCUUGCAGAUGUGUCAGGAACAUAUGCAACUACAGUAGUGACUGCAAAACUGGCACAGAGAUUUUAUUAAUCCUGAAGAAAAAUGUAUGUACUAUUUUUCAGUAUGAUUAUCAUGAAUAUGCUAGAACUAUUUCUUGAAAGCAAACUUUUUAUUACUUUUGUGUGAGUUUAUUUAACAAAAUUGUUUUGUCUGUUUUGUCUAAGGAAGGUUCUAGAGGUUAGAUAUUUAACUGUAAAUAUGUGAGGAAACUCAAGAAUUCAGAAUAAAAAUAGAAAAAAACACAAGUAUCUGAGAAUUCAGAUGUUGAGAUACAGGGGAAAACAUUAAAUUGGUUGGGUGAACUUGUGACAGCAGUAGCAUUUUAAAUUUCUUAAGACUUAUCCUGUAUAUACAUGUAUAUAUAUGUAAUAUGCAGCAGUAUCAAUUUUAUAAGUAUUGUUUGACCUUAUUAAUACUAGAUUAUAUAGUCUCAGCCUUAAUUCUCCAUUUACAUUAUUUUGUAAUUUUUUAUUAUUACUAUUUUUAAAGGGUUAAAGAAGUUGUACACUCUCUCAUUAAUGGAAUAGGAUAUGCUAGAAAAUUGCUGCAAGAACAUUGGAAUUGUGUAUUAAUUCACAUUAAUGUAUGUCAAUGUAUGUCUUUGUGUAAGUCCAGGACUAUUGGUCUGUGACGUUAUUUUGUAAGGAAAUACUUUUGGUACAGUUUUGUGUCCCAGGAAAAGUGUGUGUUUUUUAAUCCUUUCUGAAUAUACAGUGAGGUUAAUAAAGAGAAUGGUUUCUUCCCUGUUGAAUAAA